UCCCAACCUUUAAGAAGCACACACACUUUUAAAUCAAUGCCUCCCAACCCCACGGCUUCUGUGAAUCACUCACACUUCCUAUGUAUGUACAGUAGCCUCUGAACAAAAACGUCUGAGCAUCUUUGUUCAGAGGCUACUUGACACACACACACAACCGAUCAGAGUUCAAAGGAGGGGCAAGCAUUGGUAUUCACUGCAGAAGAUGCCUCCUCGCUCUCAGAGCAAGACUGUGAGUGCUGAGACUGCUGGAUUUCUCCCAGUACUGCCGUUACUCUCCUUUCUUUAACCAGCGCUAACUUGAAACCCAAGCACAACAGGAGAAAGGAAGUUAUGAACACUCUGCCCAAAGAAGUCCUCAGAGUGCACCAUCAACCCUAUGUCAGGUCACAGGAGGGAGAACUGUAAGUGCAGAGGCUGGUUGUAUCUGGUGUGGCUGGGAGAACAGGCUCCUCAUUUCCUGAGUCUGACUUAGAGAGCUGGACUGACACCUGCUUGAGUUUAAGCUGAGUUGAUGGUAAAUGAGCUCAAUCCAAGGCUCUUGUGAGUUUUCAGUUAUGGGGGAGGAGAAAGUGAUUGAAGGUGACCUCUACAUUUCAAUGCAGAGUGCCAGUACCAAUGUUUUUGGGGUAUGCUGGCAUCCUUAGAGAAAUUCAUUGAUUUUCCUUUUUCCCUCUGUGGUGUAAAGCGAUGUCCAGAGAUGGAAAGGGCAAGGCAAAUGAACAAGCGAUUGCAGCCAACUCUGACGAAUAAUGUUCUGGAACAUACGGGAUCCUGUAGACUGGGUCAGGUGACGGAGGUGUGGAAUGCAACAGGAACCGGGGAAGGAUGCAGUGGUGACUGGGGAAGAUGGCCAGGUUAGCGGAGGCGGACUCUGCACUUCAUAGAACCUUCACAGGAAGGAGUCUGCCCCUGUUGCCGUGUGGGUGAAGAAUGGAUCUGAGGGGGCGCCCUAAGACCCAGGGAGACCCCCUUUCAGAGCACUUCAGCACUCCCUGGAAAUGACAACAGGCUGAAAUCAAGCCCAGGUGAGGGAGGAGAAGAGAAGCGGUCAGCUUGGAUGACCACUUGGUAAUGACAAGUGAUUGUCCUUGAUUGAUUUGUAAGAGAUGGCAAAGAGGAAAAGCCAUGAAUCAGUCAGUUAUGCUGUGUUACAAAAGACCCCAAAAUGUAGUGGCUAGAAAUAACAGCCAUUUGUUAUGUUUAUGAUUACGUGAGCCAGCAAUUUGGGCUAAAACCCGUCUAGUGCUCCUUCUGUCUCUUCUGAGCUCCCUCUUGUCUGCAGUCAACUGUAGGCAUGGCCAGCGCUUUGAUGAUGUUUCCUGGGUCUUGUUAAUGUAUCUGGGGUCCUAGGUGGAAUGGCUCAUCUCAGCUUCAUGUGGGUUCUGACAUCCCUCCAGGAAGCCAGGCCAGGUUUCAUCACAUGGGGACCAGGCAGGAUACCAACAUCACGAAGAGAAGCGUGCCUGGGCUUAGAGCCAUCACAUCUUCACUCCUGUGGCAUUCUGUUGGCUAAAGCCUGGAUUCUCAGAAUAAAGAUGCGGUCCUCCUCUGGAUGGGGAACACUGUGAAGUCCUAUUGUGCAGUGUGUGCACGCAGGGAGGGGAAGAAUACAGGGCUAUCUCUCUCAGGAGGCAGGAUGCGGCAGGUGGCAGCACCAGCUGUAGAGCAGCUUCUUGCGAUCAGUGACAAUACUCUUUCCCCCAGCAUGGCAGCCUCAUUCAUGGAGCAGCCUCGUGUCCCUCAGCUGUGUCAUGCCACGUAGCAGCCCAGUUGUUCAACCCGGUCUGAAGAAAGGCAUGCAUGGAAAGGGUGGCUAUUUCAAAUGGAAACAGUGAUUUCUUCCUUUUUUACCCUAUGGAAGUGUCGAUUUUUGUCACAUCAAGGUCGUUCUUGUUCUUUGUGCAGGAGUACCGAAGCUCUGGGAUGAUUUGCCGUCGAGGCAUUGAAGAUGCAUAGUCUGGCAAUAUGGUGGCAAAAAUCGGGUCUCCCAUUGUAUCCGUGGUGGUGGUGACACUGCUGGGAGCAGCAGCCAGUUAUUUCAGACUCAACAGUAGGAGGAAUUGUUUCAGGACCAGUGAACCAGAAAAUGUCUGAAGAUGUUAAGAUCCCCUGAUUACUUUGAGAAAAACUCAAGCAAAACAAGAACCCUGUUUAUCACUGUUGUAGAAAUUUCCUUUUAUUCUUGACACAAUUUGAUGAGCUAAAGUGUGUUUUCUUCUGUGUGAAGUACAUGAGCUGCCUCACUCAUUGGAUGUGAUGUGGUUAUAAAGAUGAGUUAGGCAGCUAGACCCUGCAUUGUAAAAAGAAAUUGCUUUCUCUGUCAGUUUGUCAUUCAUUCACACAGAGAGACUGUGGCUCUCUAUUCCAAAAACUUCAGGUACUUCAUGGUGCAGUAACGCACACAUGCUUCACCACGGUGAUGUGACACAGCAGGAAGCAGGAGGGAGGCACAGGAUCUUGGUGGGUAGGGGAUGUUAUCAGCUUCUCAGAAGUGAAGAAUACUGUUGAGGUUCCAAGGAUGCUGGACCUACGCUAAAUUCUUCAGUGAUGUCCAAAAUCAUGGGGCAUUCGUCACUGCUAAUGAAGUGGGUAUGAAUUAUUUCUGACACCCACAAGCAAGGUUUGAACCUCCUUUCAGCUCUGUUGUAUCUGAACGUAAAGUUAUUAUUACUUGAGAAAAUAAGGCUGCAUUUUGAAAUGUUCGGUGCAGAACGACUUAUGUUAAAACCAUCUGGGGGAAAUCCUGGGAUACUUUUUCCCAGGAAAUCAUAUAGUUUUGCUGUGUUUCGGCACAUAGGAGACAGAAAUGGCGAUUAUCAGAAGUAUUUUCAGUCUUUGAAAUUCUGUAAGUACUGGUUCCUAGGACAACAACAUUGUUUUCCUUGCUUUAAACUUUUUCAGUUCACCAGAGUAGGAAGUCUUAAAUCCCCAGACGUCCAGGAAGAUGCCAGCUAUUUGCUUCUCUUUUAGAAACACUUGUGGGCAGAGGGAAAAGGGUGGUUUGGGCCUAUUUGCACAGAUUGAUUAAACUACAGUUAAUGUUCAUAAAACAUUUAGAUCUUGCCCUAAAUAUCAGAACCAAAGAUUUAGAUGUUCAUGUACACUCUGGAAUGUACAUACAGGACCCAUCAAAAUUUCCAGUAUUCAUGCUUUGUGCUCCCCAUUAUGAAUUGGGGUCUUCAAAGAGGGAAGGGUGAAAGUGGAAGCCACUUGAAAGAGCUCCCCAAUUUGUAAAAUACCUUCAACUAAGAAUUCACAUUAGGUAACUCAGAGUUGUGUGUCAAAUUGUGGAUUCAUGCAUAACGCGUGCAAUUUGAAGACAGCCCGUAUUUCCUAUCUCAGUAUUCGGUCCUGCAACACUUUUUAAUUGUCGUAGAAGUUCUCUUGUAGAAAUGGUGAGGUCUGAUGCUUCAUUACUAUUUUCUCUAUAAGAAUUUCAACAUGAGCUUAAUUAAAUUCUUGUGAAAAAGUCUUCGUGUUUUUAGUUACACACACACACACACCUACUUAAAUGGAAUGUAAACAUUUUUAGCCUUUAAUCCAUUCCAUUUUCUAAACUGUCAUAAACCAUUUUUAAUCAUUUUAAAUAAAGGUAAGAGAAAAAAUACUGGAUUUGAUUGUUG